CCUACGGGCGGCUGCAGUAGGGAAUCUUCCACAAUGGACGAAAGUCUGAUGGAGCAACGCCGCGUGUGUGAUGAAGGGUUUCGGCUCGUAAAACACUGUUGUAAGAGAAGAAUGACAUUGAGCGUAACUGUUCAGUGUGUGACGGUAUAUUACCAGAAAGGAACGGCUAAAUACGUGCCAGCAGCCGCGGUAAUACGUAUGAUCCAAGCGUUAUCCGGAUUUAUUGGGCGUAAAGCGGGCGCAGACGGUUGUUUAAGUCCAAAGUGAAAGCCCAGAGCUUAACUGUGGAAUUGCUUUGGAAACUGGAGAACUUGAGUGGAGUAGAGGAGAGGGGAACUCCAUGUGUAGCGGGGAAAUGCGUAGAUAUAGGGAAGAACACCAGUGGCGAAGGCGGCUCUCUGGACUGUAACUAACGUUGAGGCUCGAAAGUGUGGGUAGCAAACAGGAUUAGAUACCCUAGUAGUC
rnacentral:rRNA from 1 species